UACGUAGGGUGCGAGCGUUAAUCGGAAUUACUGGGCGUAAAGCGUGCGCAGGCGGUUUUUUAAGUCAGACGUGAAAUCCCCGGGCUUAACCUGGGAACUGCGUUUGUGACUGCAAGACUAGAGUACGGCAGAGGGGGGUAGAAUUCCACGUGUAGCGGUGAAAUGCGUAGAUAUGUGGAGGAAUACCGAUGGCGAAGGCAGCCCCCUGGGAUAACACUGACGCUCAUGUACGAAAGCGUGGGUAGCAAACAGG
rnacentral:rRNA from 1 species